CCUCAGUAUGAUAAUUCUUUCAUCUGUUUGUUCCCCGUUUCUUCUCUAGCCUGAGCCUGACACACUAUUCAAGCUAGACAUGGAUGUGGCUCGUAACACCUGAUGACCAAACGGAUCUACGGCACCAUCGAAUCCCAAACUUUAACUGCCAAAACUAUUGUUUUUCAUCCUGUAGUCCCUUUUAGAAUUACUAAACGUCCUUUUUUGGGCCGAGAUUUCCAGGAAUGCUUUCUCGGGGUUUGUGUGCAAGUAUUUCAAACCAUACAAAGCUAGAAAUUAGAAGUCAUUCCAUCUUUAUUAUCGUAGAGCCUUCCAGCAGUUCCUAAACCGGUCUAGUCGGAGCACGUUAUCAUUCUAGUUAGUUCUGAGUGAAUUCCCUCGGUAUGAUAAUUCUUUCAUCAGUUUGUUCCCCGUUUCUUCUCUAGCCUGAGCCUGACAAACUAUUCUAGCUAGACAUGCGUGUGGCUCGUAACACCUGAUGACCAAACGGAUCUAUAGCACCAUCGAAUCUCAAACUUUAACUGCCAAAACUAUUGUUUUCAUCCUGUAGUCCCUUUUAGAAUUACUAAACUUCCUUUUUUGGGCCGAGAUUUAGAGGAACGCUUUCUGGGGUUUGUGUGCAAGUAUUUCAAACCAUACAGACCUAAAAAUUAGAAGUCAUUCCAUCUUUAUUCCCCUAGAGCCUUCCAGCAGUUCCUAAACCGCUCUAGUCGGAGCACGUUAUCAUUAUUGUUAGUUCUGAGUGAAUUCCCUCGGUAUGAUAAUUCUUUCAUCAGUUUGUUCCCUGUUUCUUCUCUAUCCUGAGCCUGACACACUAUUCUAGCUAGACAUGGGUGUGGCUCGUAACACCUGAUGACUAAAUGGAUCGACGGCACCAUCGAAUCUCAAACUUUAACUGCCAAAACUAUUGUUUUUCAUCCUGUAGUCCCAUUUAGAAUUAGUAAACGUCCUUUUUUGGGCCGAGAUUUAGAGGAACGCUUUCUCGGGGUUUGUGUGCAAGUAUUUCAAACCAUACGGACCUAAAAAUUAGAAGUCAUUCCAUCUUUAUUCCCCUAGUCAUCAGGUAUACACUCAAGUCGGAGCACGUUAUCAUUCUUGUUAGUUCUGAGUGAAUUCCCUCGGUAUGAUAAUUCUUUCAUAAAUUUGUUCCCCGUUUCUUAUAUGGCCUGAGCCUGACACACUAUUCUAGCUAGACAUGGGUGUGGCUCGUAACACCUGAUGACCAAACGGAUCUACGGCACCAUCAAAUCUCAAACUUUAACUGCCAAAACUAUUCUUUUUCAUUCUGUAGUCCCUUCUAGAAUUACUAAACGUCCUUUUUUGGGCCGAGAUUUCCAGGAACGCUUUCUCGGGGUUUGUGUGCAUGUAUUUCAAACCAUACAGACCUAAAAAUUAUAAGUCAUUCCAUCUUUAUUCCCGUAGAGCCUUCCAGUAGUUCCUAAACCGCUCCAGUCGGAGCAUGUUAUCAUUCUUGUUAGUUCUAAGUGAAUUCCCUCGGUAUGAUAAUUCUUUCAUCAGUUUGUUCCCCGUUUCUUCUCUAGCCUGAGCCUGGCACACUAGUCUAGCUAGACAUGGGUGUGGCUCGUAACACCCGAUGACUAAAUGGAUCGACGGCACCAUCGAAUCUCAAACUUUAACUGCCAAAACUAUUGUUUUUCAUCCUGUAGUCCCAUUUAGAAUUACUAAACGUCCUUUUUUGGGCCGAGAUUUAGAGGAACGCUUUCUCGUGGUUUGUGUGCAAGAAUUUCAAACCAUACGGACCUAAAAAUUAGAAGUCAUUCCAUCUUUAUUCCCCUAGAGCCUUCCAGUAGUUCCUAAACCGCUCUAGUCGGAGCACGUUAUCAUUCUUGUUAGUUCUGAGAGAAUUCCCUCGGUAUGAUAAUUCUUUUAUCAGUUUGUUCCCCGUUUCUUCUCUAGCCUGAGCCCGACACACUAUUCUAGCUAGACAUGGGUGUGGCUCGUAACACCUGAUGACCAAACGGAUCUACGGCACCAUCGAAUCUCAAACUUUAACUGCCAAAACUAUUGUUUUUCAUCCUGUAGUCCCUUUUAGAAUUACUAAAUGUCCUUUUUUGGGCCGAGAUUUCCAGGAACGCUUUCUCAGGGUUUGUGUGCAAGUAAUUCAAACCAUACGGACCUAAAAAUUAGAAGUCAUUCCAUCUUUAUUCCCCUAGAGCCUUCCAGCAGUUCCUAAACCGCUCAAGUCAGUGCACGUUAUCAUUCUUGUUAGUUCUAAGUGAAUUCCCUCGGUAUGAUAAUUUGUUCAUCAGUUUGUUCCCCGUUUCUUCUCUAGCCUGAGCCUGACACACUAUUCUAGCUAGACAUGGGUGUGGCUCGUAACACCUGAUGACCAAACGGAUCUACGACACCAUCGAAUCUCAAACUUUAACUACCAAAACUAUUGUUUUUCAUCCUCUAGUCCCUUUUAGAAUUACUAAACGUCCUUUUUUGGGCCGAGAUUUCCAGGAACGCUUUCUCGGGGUUUGUGUGCAUGUAUUUCAAACCAUACAGACCUAAAAAUUAGAAGUCAUUCCAUCUUUAUUCCCGUAGAGCCUUCCAGCAGUUCCUAAACCGCUCCAGUCGGAGCAUGUUAUCAUUCUUGUUUGUUCUGAGUGAAUUCCCUCGGUAUGAUAAUUCUAUCAUCAGUUUGUUCCCCGUUUCUUCUCUAGCCUGAGCCUGGCAAACUAUUCUAGCUAGACAUGGGUGUGGCUCGUAACACCUGAUGACCAAACGGAUCUACGACACCAUCGAAUCUCAAACUUUAACUACCAAAACUAUUGUUUUUCAUUCUAUAGUCCCUUCUAGAAUUUCUAAACGUCCUUUUUUGGGCCGAGAUUUCCAGGAAUGCUUUCUCGGGGUUUGUGUGCAAGUAUUUCAAAUCAUACGGACCUAAAAAUUAGAAGUCAUUCCAUCUUUAUUCCCCUAGAGCCUUCCAGUAGUUCCUAAACCGCUCCAGUCGGAGCACGUUAUCAUUCUUGUUAGUUCAUAGUGAAUUCCCUCGGUAUGAUAAUUCUUUCAUCAGUUUGUUCCCCGUUUCUUCUCUAGCCUGAGCCUGGCACAGUAUUCUAGCUAGACAUGGGUGUGGUCGUAACACCUGAUGACUAAAUGGAUCGACGGCACCAUCGAAUCUCAAACUUUAACUGCCAAAACUAUUGUUUUUCAUCCUGUAAUCCCAUUUAGAAUUACUAAACGUCCUUUUUUGGGCCGAGAUUUAGAGGAACGCUUUGUUGGGGUUUGUGUGCAAGUAUUUCAAACCAUACGGACCUAAAAAUUAGAACUCAUUCCAUAUUUAUUCCCCUUGAGCCUUCCAGCAGUUCCUAAACCGCUCUAGUCGGAGCACGUUAUCAUUCUUGUUAGUUCUAAGAGAAUUCCCUCGGUAUGAUAAUUCUUUUAUCAGUUUGUUCCCCGUUUCUUCUCUAGACUGGGCCCGACACACUAUUCUAGCUAGACAUGGGUGUGGCUCGUAACACCUGAUGACCAAACGGAUCUACGGCACCAUCGAAUCUCAAACUUCAACUGCCAAAACUAUUGUUUUUCAUCCUGUAGUCCCUUUUAGAAUUACUAAACGUCCUUUUUUGGGCCGAGAUUUCCAGGAACGCUUUCUCGGGGUUUGUGUGCAAGUAUUUCAAACCAUACGGACCUAAAAAUUAGAAGUCAUUCCAUCUUUAUUCCCGUAGAGCCAUCCAGCAGUUCCUAAACCGCUCCAGUCGGAGCACGUUAUCAUUCUUGUUAGUUCUGAGUGAAUUCCCUCGGUAUGAUAAUUCUUUCAUCAGUUUGUUCCCCGUUUCUUCUCUAGCCUGAGCCUGACAAACUAUUAUAGCUAGACAUGGGUGUGGCUCGUAACACCUGAUGACCAAACGGAUCUAUGGCACCAUCGAAUCUCAAACUUUAACUGCCAAAACUAUUGUUUUUCAUCCUGUAGUCCCUUUUAGAAUUACUAAACGCCCUUCUUUGGGACGAGAUUUCCAGGAACGCUUUCUCGGGGUUUGUGUGAAAGUAAUUCAAACCAUACGGACCUAAAAAUUAGAAGUCAUUCCAUCUUUAUUCCCGUGGAGCCUUCCAGUAGUUCCUAAACCGCUCCAGUCGGAGCACGUUAUCAUUCUUGUUAGUUCUGAGUGAAUUCCCUCGGUAUGAUAAUUCUUUCAUCAGUUUGUUCCCUGUUUCUUCUCUAGCCUGAGCCUGGCACACUAUUCUAGCUAGACAUGGGUGUGGCUCGUAACACCUGAUGACUAAACUGAUCAAUGACACCAUCGAAUCUCAAACUUUAACUGCCAAAACUAUUGUUUUUCAUCCUGUAGUCCCAUUUAGAAUUACUAAACGUCCUUUUUUGGGCCGAGAUUUCCAGGAACGCUUACUCGGGGUUUGUGUGCAAGUAUUUCAAACCAUACUGACCUAAAAAUUAGAAGUCAAUCCAUCUUUAUUCCCCUAGAGCCUUCCAGCAGUUCCUAAACCGCUCCAGUCGGAGCACGUUAUCAUUCUUGUUAGUUCUGAGUGAAUUCCCUCGGUAUGAUAAUUCUUUCAUCAGUUUGUUCCUUGUUUCUUCUCUAGCCUGAACCUGACACACUAUUCUAGCUAGACAUGGGUGUGGCUCGUAACACCUGAUGACCAAACGGAUCUACGGCACCAUCGAAUCUCAAACUUUAACUGCCAAAACUAUUAUUUUUAAUCCUCUAGUCCCAUUUAGAAUUACUAAACGUCCUUUUUUGGGCCGAGAUUUAGAGGAACGCUUUCAUGCGGUUUGUGUGCAAGUAUUUCAAACCAUACGGACCUAAAAAUUAGAAGUCAUUCCAUCUUUAUUCCCCUAGAGCCUUCCAGCAGUUCCUAAACCGCUCCAGUCGGAGCAUGUUAUCAUUCUUGUUAGUUCUGAGUGAAUUCCCUCGGUAUGAUAAUUCUUUCAUCAGUUUGUGGCCCGUUUCUUCUCUAGCCUGAGCCUGACACACUAUUCUAGCUAGACGUGGGUGUGGCUCGUAACACCUGAUGACCAAACGGAUCUACGGCACCAUCGAAUCUCAAACUUUAAGUGCCAAAACUAUUAUUUUUAAUCCUGUAGUCCCAUUUAGAAUUAC
rnacentral:lncRNA from 1 species